UGGGGAAUAUUGCACAAUGGGCGCAAGCCUGAUGCAGCCAUGCCGCGUGUGUGAAGAAGGCCUUCGGGUUGUAAAGCACUUUCAGCGAGGAGGAAGGUGGUGAACUUAAUACGUUCAUCAAUUGACGUUACUCGCAGAAGAAGCACCGGCUAACUCCGUGCCAGCAGCCGCGGUAAUACGGAGGGUGCAAGCGUUAAUCGGAAUUACUGGGCGUAAAGCGCACGCAGGCGGUUUGUUAAGUCAGAUGUGAAAUCCCCCGGGCUCAACCUGGGAACUGCAUUUGAAACUGGCAAGCUAGAGUCUCGUAGAGGGGGGUAGAGUUCCAGGUGUAGCGGUGAAAUGCGUAGAGAUCUGGAGGAAUACCGGUGGCGAAGGCGGCCCCCCUGGACGAAGACUGACGCUCAGGUGCGAAAAGCGUGGGGGCAGCAAACAGGAUUAGAUACCCUGGUAGUCCGCGCUGUAAACGAUGUCGAUUUGGAGGUUGUGCCCCUUGAGGCGUGGCUUCCGGAGCUAACGCGUUAAAUCGACCGCCUGGGG
rnacentral:rRNA from 1 species